AAAACUUACCUUUCCUGCUCUUCACUGACUUCUUGAUUCUCGUGGCUUUGGCUGCUAUUUUGCCUUGCUUUGCUCUGCUGUGCUAUGCACUGCUUUCUCUGUAUUUCUUGCCAUCCACUCCUUCCUUCGAGUUAUUCUUUACUUUUUGACUUGGCUUUUUUCUUCUUUUCUCUUUACCUUUCUUCUCUUGUCAUUAUUCGUUUUUCCUUUUGUUUUUUCUUUUUUCAUCUACUGUUUUUUUCUUUUCUUUUUUUCUUUCUUCUUUUUUUCAUAUUUUUCUGUUCUCUUUUUUUAUUUCUAUUUUCUUUUUUUUCUUUUCUCUUUUCUUUAUCUUUUUUCUUUUUUAUCUUUUCUCUUUUUCUCUUUUUUGUUCAUGUUCUUUUUUUCUUUUCUCUUUUUCUUCUUUUUUUUUUUUUUUUUUUCUUUUUACUCUUUUUGUUCAUUUUUUCUUUUUUUCUUUUCAUUUUUCUCUUUUUCUUAUUUUUUUUUCUUUUUCUCUUUUUUCAUAUUUUUUGUUCUUAUUUUUUCUUUUCUUUUUUCAUCAUAGGUUUGCCUUCAGCCCUCCCUC
rnacentral:lncRNA from 7 species